rnacentral:rRNA from 1 species
GACGAACGCUGGCGGCGUGCUUAACACAUGCAAGUCGAACGGAAAGGCCCUUUUGGGGGUACUCGCGUGGCUAACGGGUGAGUAACUCGUACGUAACCUGCCCUUGCCUUCGUGAUAACUUCAUGAAACUGGGGCUAAUACCUGCUAGGAAUCCUUUCUUCAUGGUGGGGGUUGGAAAGCUUCCGGGGGUUUGGGUGGACUCGCUGGCUAUCCGCUUGUUGGUGGGGUGGUGGCUUACCAAGGCUUUGACGGGUAGCCGGCCUGGCGAGGCGAACGGCCACAAUGGGGCUGAGGAACGGCCCAGAAUCCUACGGGGAGGCAGAGGGGGGGAUAUUGCACCAUGGGCGGGAACCUGGUUGAAGAAAGCCGCGGGCGGGGAGACGGGCUUCGGGUUGUAAACCGCUUUCAGCAGGGGAGAAGCUUGUAGUGACGGUACCUGCAAAAGAAGCACCGGCUAACUACGUG